CAGGCCUCCAGACACACUGCCAAGGAAGCCUCUGCAUCCUCAGCCUUCUUUGAUGAGCUGAUACCUCAGAACAUGACUCCCUGGGAGAUCCCCACCACAGAAGACACUGAUGGGCUCCUGAGCCAGGCCCUGCUGCUCGGGGAACUGCGGUCUGCUGUGGAGCUCUGUCUGAAAGAGGAACGCUUUGCUGACGCCAUCAUCCCCUUUCCUCCCCUCCCAUCCCAUCCCUUCUGUGGGCUCGUGGACACAGUCCUCAAGUGACUACAGGGUCCCCAAACCCCAAGCAACCUUGCCUGUGCAUUUCGUCCCUGGAGUAAGGCCUGCCUCUCUGUCUCUCUCUCUCUCUGUCUAUCUCCAUCUCUCUCUGAUUAAAGGCUUUGUAUUUUUGGCAAUAUACCAAAGUAGUUCUGUCUGUCUGUCAUUUCAAUUCACUAGUAAUAUUUUGAGGGUCAAAUAAGGAAUAAAGUUAAAAGUACUUUG
rnacentral:lncRNA from 1 species